UUAAAACACCGGUUCCCGUACGAGCACCACAGUUAAGCAACGCAGAGACUGGACAGUACCUAUAUGCGUGACCGCUUGGGAAUACCUGAUGUUGUAAG